rnacentral:snRNA from 1 species
GAAGCUGUGAGGGCCAUCUGGCUGUCAUCUGUCAUUCCACUGAUGGUGAGAGUCGAUUUGCUGAUUUGACUGGCGAGACCUGUCUGUCUCCCUAGCUCACUUCAUUUAGGUCCCCUCAAAGCUGUUGAUUAGUGGAAGAUGGUGACCUUCCUCAAUAAGGAAGAACUAAUCUUUGGUCAAGAGCGGUCAAAAGUAUAUGAUUGGCUGCACCUCCCUGAUAGAACAUCCAAACCAGCUCUCAAGGAAACAGGCUGUGUGACAAGCUGUUUGGAGAGAGGUUUGUUUACUCCAGGGACAUCAGGACCUAUGGCUGAAGCAGGCCUGAGACAGAC